rnacentral:rRNA from 1 species
GACAGAGGUGCCGAGCGUUAGGCGGAAUCACUGGGCUUAAAGCGUGUGUAGGCGGGCCGUUAAGUGCCCCGUGAAAUCCCCCGGCUCAACCGGGGAACUGCGGGGCAUACUGGCGGCCUUGAGCCACUUAAGGGCAGACGGAACAAGCGGUGGAGCGGCUGAAUGCGUAGAUAUCGCUUGGAACGCCGACGGCGAAAGCAGUCUGCUGGGCUGACACUGACACUGAAGCGCGAAAGCGUGGGGAGCGAACAGG